UCGAGGGGCAGCAUUUCAGUUUGCUUGCAAACUGGAGAUGGCGACCGGCGCACGGGUGAGUAACACGUAUCCAACCUGCCGAUAACUCGGGGAUAGCCUUUCGAAAGAAAGAUUAAUACCCGAUGGUAUAAUCAGACCGCAUGGUCUUGUUAUUAAAGAAUUUCGGUUAUCGAUGGGGAUGCGUUCCAUUAGGCAGUUGGUGAGGUAACGGCUCACCAAACCUUCGAUGGAUAGGGGUUCUGAGAGGAAGGUCCCCCACAUUGGAACUGAGACACGGUCCAAACUCCUACGGGAGGCAGCAGUGAGGAAUAUUGGUCAAUGGGCGCAGGCCUGAACCAGCCAAGUAGCGUGAAGGAUGACUGCCCUAUGGGUUGUAAACUUCUUUUAUAUGGGAAUAAAGUUUUCCACGUGUGGAAUUUUGUAUGUACCAUAUGAAUAAGGAUCGGCUAACUCCGUGCCAGCAGCCGCGGUAAUACGGAGGAUCCGAGCGUUAUCCGGAUUUAUUGGGUUUAAAGGGAGCGUAGGUGGACAGUUAAGUCAGUUGUGAAAGUUUGCGGCUCAACCGUAAAAUUGCAGUUGAUACUGGCUGUCUUGAGUACAGUAGAGGUGGGCGGAAUUCGUGGUGUAGCGGUGAAAUGCUUAGAUAUCACGAAGAACUCCGAUUGCGAAGGCAGCUCACUGGACUGCAACUGACACUGAUGCUCGAAAGUGUGGGUAUCAAACAGGAUUAGAUACCCUGGUAGUCCACACAGUAAACGAUGAAUACUCGCUGUUUGCGAUAUACAGUAAGCGGCCAAGCGAAAGCAUUAAGUAUUCCACCUGGGGAGUACGCCGGCAACGGUGAAACUCAAAGGAAUUGACGGGGGCCCGCACAAGCGGAGGAACAUGUGGUUUAAUUCGAUGAUACGCGAGGAACCUUACCCGGGCUUAAAUUGCAUUUGAAUAUAUUGGAAACAGUAUAGCCGUAAGGCAAAUGUGAAGGUGCUGCAUGGUUGUCGUCAGCUCGUGCCGUGAGGUGUCGGCUUAAGUGCCAUAACGAGCGCAACCCUUAUCUUUAGUUACUAACAGGUCAUGCUGAGGACUCUAGAGAGACUGCCGUCGUAAGAUGUGAGGAAGGUGGGGAUGACGUCAAAUCAGCACGGCCCUUACGUCCGGGGCUACACACGUGUUACAAUGGGGGGUACAGAAGGCAGCUACCUGGUGACAGGAUGCUAAUCCCAAAAGCCUCUCUCAGUUCGGAUCGAAGUCUGCAACCCGACUUCGUGAAGCUGGAUUCGCUAGUAAUCGCGCAUCAGCCAUGGCGCGGUGAAUACGUUCCCGGGCCUUGUACACACCGCCCGUCAAGCCAUGAAAGCCGGGGGUACCUGAAGUACGUAACCGCAG
rnacentral:rRNA from 1 species